AAGGAAUAUUGGACAAUGGAGGCAACUCUGAUCCAGCCAUGCCGCGUGAAGGAUGAAGGCGCUCAGCGUUGUAAACUUCUUUUGAGUGGGAACAAAAAACGGGACUUGUCCCGGACUGAGGGUACCACUAGAAUAAGCACCGGCUAACUCCGUGCCAGCAGCCGCGGUAAUACGGAGGGUGCAAGCGUUAUCCGGAAUCACUGGGUUUAAAGGGUGCGUAGGCGGUCGGAUAAGUCAGUCGUGAAAUGCCCCGGCUCAACCGGAGGAACUGCGAUUGAUACUGUCCGACUUGAAUCAGGUUUAGGCAGGCGGAAUGUGACAUGUAGCGGUGAAAUGCUUAGAUAUGUCAUAGAACACCGAUUGCGAAGGCAGCUUGCUGGGCCUUGAUUGACGCUGAGGCACGAAAGCGUGGGGAGCAAAC
rnacentral:rRNA from 1 species